ACGGGGCGCAGCAGGCGCGAGAACUUUACAAUGCGGGAAACCGUGAUAAGGGGACACCGAGUGCCAGCAUCAUAUGCUGGCUGUCCGGAUGUGUAAAAUACAUCCGUUAGCAAGGGCCGGGCAAGACCGGUGCCAGCCGCCGCGGUAACACCGGCGGCCCGAGUGGUGAUCGUGAUUAUUGGGUCUAAAGGGUCCGUAGCCGGUUUGGUCAGUCCUCCGGGAAAUCUGAUAGCUCAACUGUCAGGCUUUCAGGAGAUACUGUCUGGCUCGAGGCCGGGAGAGGUGAGAGGUACUUCAGGGGUAGGGGUGAAAUCUUGUAAUCCUUGAAGGACCACCAGUGGCGAAGGCGUCUCACCAGAACGGACCUGACGGCAAGGGACGAAAGCUAGGGGCACGAACCGGAUUAGAUACCCGGGUAGUCCUAGCCGUAAACGAUACUCGCUAGGUGUCGGCCACGGUGCGACCGUUGUCGGUGCCGUAGGGAAGCCGUGAAGCGAGCCACCUGGGAAGUACGGCCGCAAGGCUGAAACUUAAAGGAAUUGGCGGGGGAGCACCACAACGGGUGGAGCUUGCGGUUUAAUUGGAUUCAACGCCGGAAAUCUUAC
rnacentral:rRNA from 1 species